GGAGGAGUAUCGGGGCCGGUGUCUCGCGCGGUCUUCAAAACCGUUGAGGGGCGUACAACGUUCUUGGUGGGUUCGACUCCCACACUCUUCCGCCA
rnacentral:tRNA from 1 species